rnacentral:rRNA from 1 species
UACGGGGGGGGUAAGCGUUGUUCGGAAUUACUGGGCGUAAAGGGCUCGUAGGCGGCCAACUAAGUCAUACGUGAAAUCCCUCAGCUUAACUGGGGAACUGCGUGUGAUACUGGAUGGCUUGGAUUUGGGAGAGGGAUGCGGAAUUCCAGGUGUAGCGGUGAAAUGCGCAGAUAUCUGGAGGAACACCGGUGGCGAAGGCGGCAUCCUGGACCAAUAUUGACGCUGAGGAGCGAAAGCCAGGGGAGCAAACGGG